AAACAUUUCCUUAUGAAAUAAAUAAUAUAUAAGGUAAGACCUGCUCCAUGAUAAAAUUAAAUAGCCGCAGUAAUCUGACUGUGCAAAGGUAGCAUAAUCAUUUGCCUUAUAAUUGAAGGCUAGUAUGAAUGGUCAAAUGAAUAAUAACUUUCUUAAAAUAAUUAUAUGAAUUUAACUUAAUAGUGAAAAGGCUAUUAUUUCAAUAAUAGACAAGAAGACCCUAAGAGUUUUUACAAUUUUUUAAUUUUUAUUUAGUUGGGGCAAUUACAAAAUAAAACUUUUGUUUAAAUAUAAAAAAAAGAACUUUUAUAUAAUUUGUAUGAUAAAUUACCUUAGGGAUAACAGAAUAAUUUUAAUUUAGAGCCCAUAUCAAAAUUAAAGUUUAUUACCUCGAUGUUGGAUUAAGGUAACAAAUGUAAGCAAAAAUACAUUAACGUUUGUCUGUUCGACAAUUAAAUCCUUACGUGAUCUGA
rnacentral:rRNA from 1 species